GCUGGAUGUGGUGGUGCAUGCCUGUAAGUUCCAGCUACCCAGGAGGCUGAGGCAGGAGGAUGGCUUGAGCACAGGAGUUCUGGGCUAUAGUGUGUGCUGUGCUGAUCAGGUGUCAGCAUAAGUUCUACAUCAAUAUGGUGACCACCUAGGAGUGGGUACCACCAGGUUACCUAAGGAGGGGUGAACUGGCCCAGGUCAGAAAUGGAGCAGGUCAAAAACUCCCUGCUAGGCCGGGCGUGGUGGCUCACGCCUGUAAUCCCAGCACUUUGGGAGGCCAAAGUGGGCAGAUCAUGAGAUCAAGAGAUCGAGACCAUCCUGGCCAACAUGGUGAAACCCUGUCUCUA
ensembl:misc_RNA Metazoa_SRP Metazoan signal recognition particle RNA